rnacentral:rRNA from 1 species
UACGUAGGGACCAAGCGUUGUUCGGAUUUACUGGGCGUAAAGGGCGCGUAGGCGGCGUGGUAAGUCACUUGUGAAAUCUCUGAGCUUAACUCAGAACGGCCAAGUGAUACUGCUGUGCUAGAGUGCAGAAGGGGCAAUCGGAAUUCUUGGUGUAGCGGUGAAAUGCGUAGAUAUCAAGAGGAACACCUGAGGUGAAGACGGGUUGCUGGGCUGACACUGACGCUGAUGCGCGAAAGCCCAGGGGAGCAAACGGG